rnacentral:lncRNA from 1 species
GAAGGUGGUGGUGGGGACUUGUAGACAUAUGGUGGUGGAGGUGAAGGAGAGGGAGGAGGUGGAGAGUUGUAGACAUAAGAAAGGGGUAGCGAUGCAUAUGGUGGUGGAGGAGAUUUGUAAACAUAUGGAGGCGGUGGUGAAGGAGAGGGAGGUGGAGGAGAUUUGUAGACAUACGGUGGAGGAGGUGAGGGAGAAGGAUGUGGUGGUGACUUGUGCACAUAAGGCGGAGGUGGUGAUGGGGAUGGUGGUGGUGGGGACUUGUAGAUGUAAGAAAGGGGUAGUGAUGCAGAUGGUGGAGGAGGAGACUUGUAGACAUAUGGAGGUGGUGGUGAAGGAGAGGGAGGUGGAGGAGAUUUGUAGACAUAUGGUGGAGGAAGUGAAGGAGAAGGAGGUGGUGGUGACUUGUAAAUAUAAGGUGGAGGUGGUGAUGGGGAUGGUGGUGGUGGGGACUUGUAGAUGUAAGAAAGGGGUAGUGAUGCAGAUGGUGGAGGAGGAGACUUAUAGACAUACUUAGGUUGUGGUGAUGGAGAGGGAGGUGGAGGAGAUUUGUAGACAUAUGGCGGAGGAGGUGAAGGAGAGGGAGGUGGUGGUGACUUAUAAAUAUAAGGUGGAGGUGGUGAAGGAGAUGGUGGUGGUGGAGAUUUGUAUGUAUAUAAUGGAGCUAAUUUGGGGUAGAGGUGUGCGUGUUUUGCAUGAUGUGGG